rnacentral:lncRNA from 1 species
GUUGGGAAAAGCCCUUUUCUAUGAACUGCCAGAAAGGCCAAUUAUAUGUUUUAUGGAAGUGAAGGCUGAAGGGGAACUUGAAAGGUCACAGGCAACCCUCACUGUCAAGAUCAUGGCAGAGAAGUAACCUAUGUGGAUGGCAACCAGUUCCAUUUAUUUUUCUUUUUGAGCCUUGAGAGGUACCUGGUCCACAAACUGAUAUAUCACCUUCGAAUCAAGACGAUGUUCUCAAUAUGCACCCAGGAGAGGAAGAAGAGGUUAACAUGCUAAAGUCCCAAGCAUGGAAGUAGAUACUGGAGAUCCUGGACACUGGUGGAUGAUUUCAGCUGGUCUUAAACUGAGGUGAAAACUACCCCUUAUUUCAACUGAAUAGGAAAACAUUAAGCUGUAAGUAAACUUGAAACAAAAGAAAAAUGGAAGUAGUUUCUCUAAAAUUGAAAAAAAAAAUAUUGCCUCGUAAGUAUUGUGUAUCUUCUUUUUAGUAAGCCUUUCAAAAAUAAGAAUACAUCUUGUGAUGAAGAAAAAUCCAUAUAGGAAAUGUCUUGUUGGAACUUUACACAGCUUGCAAUAAGUAAAUUCUGUAUUGAUUCUUUCUGUAUAAGUGAGUAGAU